rnacentral:rRNA from 1 species
CAGUCGCCGCGGUAAUACGAAGGGGGCUAGCGUUGUUCGGAAUUACUGGGCGUAAAGCGCACGUAGGCGGAUAUUUAAGUCAGGGGUGAAAUCCCAGAGCUCAACUCUGGAACUGCCUUUGAUACUGGGUAUCUUGAGUAUGGAAGAGGUGAGUGGAAUUCCGAGUGUAGAGGUGAAAUUCGUAGAUAUUCGGAGGAACACCAGUGGCGAAGGCGGCUCACUGGUCCAUUACUGACGCUGAGGUGCGAAAGCGUGGGGAGCAAACAGGAUUAGAUACCCCUGUAGUCCCUGUCUCUUAUAC